CCCCCCACGCCGCGCCGCCCAUCUGUCACCCUUCGCGCGCCGCCCCACACACCCCGCCGCCCGCUCAGGUCAACGUGGUGGUGGCGCUUGUGUCUGCGUGUGCCCUCAAGCAUGAGCGACUUAGUUCUGCAAUUGCUCCCUGUCACACAUCACUGCUGCGCCAUCAGUCCAGCCACACUGACCACUAGUAUGCUUCAGUACAAGAGCGACGUGAAGGAGGGAGAUCGCCCGGAUGAGCACUGACGGGUCUGCCGCUGACAGCACCUAUCCAUACCACUCCGCUAUGUGGCCCUCCCUGCCUCCACCAUUAUAAACACCGCGCCCUGGCUACCUACAUCACCUUCAAUGAAUCUUGACAAUUCCCCAAUGUACGUGUGUUCUACCAUAUCCUACAACCCCAUUACCACCAAUAUUCCUAGACCUCCAUUAAACUCUGACCACCUCCAUCAUAUCAAAAUCUAUUAUCGAGCUUUAUCACUAUCACUGAACCCUUACCAUUGCCCUGUGUACGUAUGUUCUACCAUAUGCCACCACCCCCAUUAACACCAUUGCUUCUAGACUCCCACAACCCUAUCCACUUCCAUCACAUCACGAUCCUUUAUCAACCUACAUCACUAUCACUGUUCCUUCAUCGUUCCUACAUGUAUUCCAUCAUAUCCUACCCACCUCUAUCAUCUACACCAUCACCAGAUUAUCACAUUCCUUUA